rnacentral:rRNA from 1 species
CCUACGGGUUGCACCAGUGGGGAAUAUUGCACAAUGGGCGCAAGCCUGAUGCAGCCAUGCCGCGUGUAUGAAGAAGGCCCUAGGGUUGUAAAGUACUUUCAGUCGGGAGGAAGGCGUUGAUGCUAAUAUCAUCAACGAUUGACGUUACCGACAGAAGAAGCACCGGCUAACUCCGUGCCAGCAGCCGCGGUAAUACGGAGGGUGCAAGCGUUAAUCGGAAUUACUGGGCGUAAAGCGCACGCAGGCGGUUGGUUAAGUUAGAUGUGAAAUCCCCGGGCUUAACCUAGGAAUGGCAUCUAAGACUGGUCAGCUAGAGUCUUGUAGAGGGGGGUGGAAUUCCGUGUGUAGCGGUGAAUUGCGUAGAGAUGUGGAGGAAUACCGGUGGCGAAGGCGGCCCCCUGGACAAAGACUGACGCUCAGGUGCGAAAGCGUGGGGAGCAAACAGGAUUAGAUACCCCAGUAGUC